CCUACGGGCGGCUGCAGUGGGGAAUAUUGCACAAUGGGCGCAAGCCUGAUGCAGCCAUGCCGCGUGUGUGAAGAAGGCCUUCGGGUUGUAAAGCACUUUCAGCGGGGAGGAAGGCGGUGAGGUUAAUAACCUCAUCGAUUGACGUUACCCGCAGAAGAAGCACCGGCUAACUCCGUGCCAGCAGCCACGGUAAUACGGAGGGUGCAAGCGUUAAUCGGAAUUACUGGGCGUAAAGCGCACGCAGGCGGUCUGUCAAGUCGGAUGUGAAAUCCCCGGGCUCAACCUGGGAACUGCAUUCGAAACUGGGAGGCUAGAGUCUUGUAGAGGGGGGUAGAAUUCCAGGUGUAGCGGUGAAAUGCGUAGAGAUCUGGAGGAAUACCGGUGGCGAAGGCGGCCCCCUGGACAAAGACUGACGCUCAGGUGCGAAAGCGUGGGGAGCAAACAGGAGUAGAUACCCCUGGAGUC
rnacentral:rRNA from 1 species